AUUACCGCGGCUGCUGGCACGGAGUUAGCCGAUCCUUAUUCUUACGGUACCGUCAAGCUCCUUCACGAAGGAGUGUUUCUUCCCGUACAAAAGCAGUUUACACACCAUAGAUGCUUCUUCCUGCACGCGGCAUGGCUGGAUCAGGCUUGCGCCCAUUGUCCAAUAUUCCUCACUGCUGCCUCCCGUAGG
rnacentral:rRNA from 1 species